rnacentral:rRNA from 1 species
GACGAACGCUGGCGGCGUGCUUAAUACAUGCAAGUCGAGCGGACCGAGCGGCUCAAGGCCGGUUUCCGGCGGCGAGCUGCGAAGGUUAGCGGCGGACGGGUGAGUAACGCGUGGGUAAUCUGCCUCCAAGACCGGGAUAACAGUGCGAAAGUGCUGCUAAUACCGGAUAAUCUCCUUAUGCCGCAUGGGAUGGGGAGCAAAGCUCUGGCGCUUGGAGAUGAGCCCGCGUUCCAUUAGCUAGUUGGUGAGGUAACGGCUCACCAAGGCGACGAUGGAUAGCCGGCCUGAGAGGGUGACCGGCCACACUGGGACUGAGACACGGCCCAGACUCCUACGGGAGGCAGCAGUAGGGAAUUUUCCGCAAUGGGGGAAACCCUGACGGAGCGACGCCGCGUGGGGGAAGAAGGCCUUCGGGUCGUAAACCUCUGUCUUUGGGGACGAAAAUGACGGUACCCAAGGAGGAAGCCCCGGCUAACUACGUGCCAGCAGCCGCGGUAACACGUAGGGGGCGAGCGUUGUCCGGAAUCACUGGGCGUAAAGGGCGUGUAGGCGGCCUGUUAAGUCAGGCGUGAAAGCCCUGGGCUUAACCUGGGGACUGCGCUUGAAACUGGCGGGCUUGAGGGCAGGAGAGGAAAGUGGAAUUCCCGGUGUAGCGGUGAUAUGCGUAGAUAU